AUACGGAGGGUGCAAGCGUUAAUGGGAAUUACUGGGCGUAAAGGGUUCGUAGGCGGUUAUUUAAGUCAGAUGUGAAAGCCCCGGGCUCAACCUGGGAAUUGCAUCUGAUACUGGGUAACUAGAGUUUAAGAGAGGAGUGUGGAAUUUCCGGUGUAGCGGUGAAAUGCAUAGAGAUCGGAAGGAACAUCAGUGGCGAAGGCGGCACUCUGGCUUAAAACUGACGCUGAGGAACGAAAGCGUGGGUAGCAAACAGGAUUAGAUACCCUAGUAGUCC
rnacentral:rRNA from 1 species